GACUGAAGGGAUGGCUUGUUGGUAGAGCAGGAGACUCUUAAUCUCAGGGUUGUGGGUUCAAGCACCACUUUGGGUA